GUAGGGAAUAUUGGGCAAUGGAUGCAAGUCUGACCCAGCCAUGCCGCGUGGAGGAAGAAGGUCCUCUGGAUUGUAAACUCCUUUUUUGGGGGAAGAAUAGUUCUCUUGCGAGGGAAUGUGACGGUACCCUAAGAAUAAGCCACGGCUAACUACGUGCCAGCAGCCGCGGUAAUACGUAGGUGGCAAGCGUUGUCCGGAUUUAUUGGGUUUAAAGGGUGCGUAGGUGGUUUGAUAAGUCAGUGGUGAAAGCUGGUUGCUCAACAAUCAAGUUGCCAUUGAUACUGUCGGACUUGAGAGAAGUGGAGGUUCAUGGAAUGGAUGGUGUAGCGGUGAAAUGCAUAGAUAUCAUCCAGAACGUCGAUUGCGAAGGCAGUGGGCUGUACUUUAUCUGACACUGAGGCACGAAAGUGUGGGGAUCAAACAGGAUUAGAAACCCCUGUAGUCC
rnacentral:rRNA from 1 species